rnacentral:rRNA from 1 species
UACGUAGGGUGCAAGCGUUGUCCGGAUUUAUUGGGCGUAAAGAGCGUGUAGGCGGCUUGGUAGGUCCGCUGUGAAAACUCGAGGCUCAACCUCGAGAUGUCGGCGGAAACCACUUGGCUAGAGUCCGGAAGAGGAGAGUGGAAUUCCUGGUGUAGCGGUGAAAUGCGCAGAUAUCAGGAAGAACACCUAUGGCGAAGGCAGCUCUCUGGGACGGUACCGACGCUGAUGCGCGAAAGCGUGGGGAGCGAACAGG